CCACUCCUCCACGGAUUUCGCAAUCGCCUGGCUAUUAUUCUUACUGUGUAAUGGCGGCCUAGUCGCCAUCGAAAAGUACUAAGGACAUUUUCGCCGCGAUUUGUGGUCCUGAAUUAACACCAAAUCCUUCAUUAUACAUCAGUACAAACGAAAGAAACACUACAUCUUUACUGGGGGUCUAACGAUGGUGUUUUGAGUGAAAUUUCUUGGUGAAAUCAACGAGUGAAGUUUGUUUACAGCGGUUGUCAAGUUGAAAAAUACUAAAAAAAAAUACCAAGAUGAGAUUGAAAACACACUUGCUAAAAGAAUCGAAACAUAAGGAGCUUGUGAGUUGUGUUGGAUGGACCACAGCCGAGGAACUCUACUCUAGUGGAGAUGACCACAGUAUUCUUAGAUGGAAUCUCCUAUCAGAUGAGACGACAGAAGUAGUCAAACUACCACAGGAAGUGUUCCCCACUGAUCUGCACUGGUUCCCUAAAGUUCUCGGCAAUAAGAAACAGAGCCAGUUGGAAUUAAUGGUGCUAACAGCCACAGAUGGGAAGUUCCAUUUGAUAUCACGUAAUGGCAGAGUGGAAAAAUCAGUUGAGGCCCACAGGGGGGCUGUGCUAUCUGGUCGCUGGAGUUAUGAUGGUUCUGCAAUGGUCACAGUGGGAGAAGAUGGCCAAGUGAAGAUUUGGUCUCGCAGUGGAAUGCUUCGCUCCACUCUCAUGCAAACAGGUACCCCUGUCUAUUCUGUUGCAUGGAGCCCAGACUCAGAUCACAUCUUGUACACAAGCGGCAAACAGCUUGUCAUCAAACCCCUACAGGCCGCAGCUAAGCCAAUCCAGUGGAAAGCCCAUGAAGGAAUAGUUCUAAAGAUUGACUGGAAUCCUAUCAAUAACCUCAUUCUGUCUGGUGGAGAAGAUUGUAAAUACAAGGUUUGGGACAGCUACGGUCGUGUCCUGUACUCCAGUGCCCCCCAUGAGUACCCCAUCACCAGCGUGUCCUGGGCCCCAGAUGGUGAGCUGUUGGGUGUCGGCUCCUUCAACACGCUAAGGCUUUGUGACAGGACAGGGUGGUCCUACGCCCUGGAGAAGCCAAACACAGGGUCCAUAUUCAACAUUGCAUGGUCCAAUGAUGGGACUCAACUGGCAGGAGCUUGUGGGAAUGGACAAGUGAUAUUCGCCCACGUCAUCGAAAGGCGCUUGGAGUGGAAAAACUUUGAGAUGACUGUCACAGAAAGGAAGAGCAUUAAUGUAAGGGACGUUGUGAAUGACAGCAAAGACACUCUUGAUUUCCGUGACCGGAUUAUCAAGACUGCACUGGGUUUCCAGCACCUUGUGGUUGCAACCUCAUCACAGUGUUACAUCUACAGUGUGAAGAACUUCAACACCCCCAUGAUCUUCGACCUGAAGAAUGGCAACAUAUCGCUCAUUGUUCUUUCUAAAAGACAUUUCCUUGUGGUCGAUGACGCUGGUUUGCAAAUAUACUCAUACGAGGGACGUCUUAUUAGCGCACCCAAGUUCCAGGGGCUCAGAACAGACGUGCUGAACGAACAGACUGUGUCCCUCAGCAACGACACCCUUGCAAUUAAGGACCGCAAAGACGAAAAAGUUAUCUACCUGUUUGAAGCUUCGUCUGGGAGAGCUGUUGGUAGUGGAGAACCGCUGACACACACCAUGGAGGUGAUGGAACUGGCCCUGAACCAGUGUGGACCCACCGGUGAUCGCCAGCUCGCCAUCAUCGACAAGAACAGGGAUCUGUAUCUUACCCCCGUCAAGCAUAUUGGCCCCGCUGCCAAACUUGUUAAACUUGGUACCAUGGUGACGAGUAUGGCGUGGAAUGACUCCACCAAUAUGCUGGCAGCUCUCCAGGACGGUCGCUUCACCGUCUGGUAUUACCCCACGGCCGUGUUUGUCGACCAGGAUAUCCUGCCGAAAACUUUACUGGAAAAGGACUCCAGCGAUUUUGGGAAAAACCCUCAUAUCUUGAACUUCCUCGAGAAUCACUGCAACAUGCGACGAGCCGAUGGUUCCCUUUGUAGCACCAUAAUCUCACCAUACCCAGCAAUGCUGCACAAGUACUGCUCCGAUUCCAAGUGGGAUGAUGCGGUCCGGCUGUGUCGCUUCGUCAAGGACCCUGCGCUAUGGGCGUGCCUGGCUACCAUGGCUGCGUACGCAAAGGAACUAAACACAGCAGAGACGGCCUACGCUGCUAUUGAUGAGGCUGACAAGGUCCAGUAUAUAAACCACAUCAAGGAGAUCCCAACCAAGGAAGGCCGUAACGCCGCCAUGGCCCUGUUUUGUCGACAAGUCAUGGAGGCGGAGACGAUCCUGCUACAAGCUGGACUUGUGUACAGGGCCAUUCAGACAAACAUUGAUCUCUUUAACUGGGAUAGGUACGGCCUAUUGGAGGGCGUUGGAGCUCGCUGUUAAGCACAAGACCCAUGUAGACACUGUCUUGGCCUUCAGGCAGAAGUACCUGGACAAUUUUGGACGCAAAGAAACGAGCAAGCGAUUCUUGCAGUUUGCUCAGGGGGUCGAGGUGAACUGGGAAAAAGUGAACGCAAAGAUCGAGGUAGAGUUGGAGAAAGAGGCGUCGAGACCUGGAGCCAAACCUUACUCUGGUUGAUUUCUCUAUAAAGGACUUUGAACAGGCCUUUAAGUGGCCAAAUUAACAUUCCCAUGCUACGUCACGUCAUGGUCUAGUCAUACAAGCCUGUCACGUCCGUCCACCGUAAAGGCUGGUGUAGACAACACGAAUUAGUCGUAUGUGACCUGCCUACGACAUGUCUAUGCCUUGAAUUAUACGCUACGACUGUCGUAGUCGAACAUCGUAGGUUGAUUUACGAUCCACGAUUCAAGUUGUAGGUGUCGUAGGCAGGUCGCAUACGACUAAAUUGUGCUGUCUAAAUCAGCCUUAGCAAAAUCUAAGCUGGCAAGAGAGGAAGUUUGUAAAAUAAGCUUGUGAAUAAUAAACUUAUAUUAAGAGUU